rnacentral:rRNA from 1 species
CAUGCUCCCGGCCGCCAUGGCGGCCGCGGGAAUUCGAUUAGAGUUUGAUCAUGGCUCAGAUUGAACGCUGGGGGCAUGCCUUACACAUGCAAGUCGAACGGCAGCGCGGGGCAACCUGGCGGCGAGUGGCGAACGGGUGAGUAAUAUAUCGGAACGUACCCUGGAGUGGGGGAUAACGUAGCGAAAGUUACGCUAAUACCGCAUACGAUCUAAGGAUGAAAGCAGGGGACCGCAAGGCCUUGUGCUCCUGGAGCGGCCGAUAUCUGAUUAGCUAGUUGGUGGGGUAAAGGCCUACCAAGGCAUCGAUCAGUAGCUGGUCUGAGAGGACGACCAGCCACACUGGAACUGAGACACGGUCCAGACUCCUACGGGAGGCAGCAGUGGGGAAUUUUGGACAAUGGGCGCAAGCCUGAUCCAGCAAUGCCGCGUGAGUGAAGAAGGCCUUCGGGUUGUAAAGCUCUUUUGUCAGGGAAGAAACGGUGAGGGCUAAUAUCCCUUGCUAAUGACGGUACCUGAAGAAUAAGCACCGGCUAACUACGUGCCAGCAGCCGCGGUAAUACGAAUCACUAGUGAAUUCGCGGCCGCCUGCAGGUCGACCAUAUGGGAGAGCUCCCAA